AUGCUUGUCUCAAAGAUUAAGCCAUGCAUGUCUAAGUACAAACAACUUUAUACUGUGAAACUGCGAAUGGCUCAUUAAAUCAGUUAUAGUUUAUUUGAUAGUACUUACUACUUGGAUAACCGUGGUAAUUCUAGAGCUAAUACAUGCGAAAAGACCCGACUUCUGGAAGGGUUGUAUUUAUUAGACAAAAAACCAAUGGGGGCAACCUCUUUGUGGUGAUUCAUAAUAUCUUUGCGGAUCGCAUGGCCUUGUGCCGGCGAUGAAUCAUUCAAAUUUCUGCCCUAUCAACUUUCGAUGGUAAGGUAUUGGCCUACCAUGGUUGCAACGGGUAACGGGGAAUG
rnacentral:rRNA from 1 species